AACGAACGCUGGCGGCAUGCCUAACACAUGCAAGUCGAACGAGACCUUCGGGUCUAGUGGCGCACGGGUGCGUAACGCGUGGGAAUCUGCCCUUCGGUUCGGAAUAACUCAGGGAAACUUGAGCUAAUACCGGAUAAUGACGUAAGUCCAAAGAUUUAUCGCCGAAGGAUGAGCCCGCGUAGGAUUAGCUUGUUGGUGGGGUAAUGGCCCACCAAGGCGACGAUCCUUAGCUGGUCUGAGAGGAUGAUCAGCCACACUGGGACUGAGACACGGCCCAGACUCCUACGGGAGGCAGCAGUGGGGAAUAUUGGACAAUGGGCGAAAGCCUGAUCCAGCAAUGCCGCGUGAGUGAUGAAGGCCUUAGGGUUGGUAAAGCUCUUUUACCCGGGAUGAUAAUGACAGUACCGGGAGAAUAAGCUCCGGCUAACUCCGUGCCAGCAGCCGCGGUAAU
rnacentral:rRNA from 1 species